rnacentral:rRNA from 1 species
AGUAUGUGGUUAAUUCGAUGCAACGCGAAGAACCUUACCUGGUCUUGACAUCCCGGAGACCCUUAGGAAACUAGGGGUGCUUCCAUCUGGAAGAAUCUGGAGACAGGUGCUGCAUGGCUGUCGUCAGCUCGUGUCGUGAGAUGUUGGGUUAAGUCCCGCAACGAGCGCAACCCUUGCCUUUAGUUGCCAGCAGUUCGGCUGGGCACUCUAAAGGGACUGCCGGUGUUAAACCGGAGGAAGGUGGGGAUGACGUCAAGUCCUCAUGGCCUUUAUGACCAGGGCUACACACGUACUACAAUGGCCGAUACAAAGGGCAGCGACACUGCGAGGUGAAGCCAAUCCCGUAAAAUCGGUCUCAGUCCGGAUUGGAGUCUGCAACCCGACUCCGUGAAGUUGGAUUCGCUAGUAAUCGCGCAUCAGCCAUGGCGCGGUGAAUACGUUCCCGGGCCUU